rnacentral:rRNA from 1 species
CCUGACCUCGAUUCGAG